CUGCUACCUCAUAUCAGUGCUAUGUUAUCUAAUUUAAGCAAGCUGCUGGGACAGAGAAACUCCAUUAAUCUCUGGAACAUCUUCCUGAAGCGGUAGUCAGGGAAAGGAUCCUGUUCCCCAAGAGAAUUCUUUUGCAUUCUGCAAAGUUGUGAGAUGGGUAAAGUCAGUAGACAUAAACCCUAACCCCAUUAUCUCAUAUUCUAGCAGAGUUGGCAAACUACAACACACGGGCCAGAUCUGGACUCUGACUGUGUUUGCACAGUCUACAAGGAAAGCUAUGGCUGGAGUAUCAAGACUGGGGUUCCUGUAACCAAUCUAAAUGAUGUCACUUUCUAAUACCCUCUCAGUAUG